AUAAUAAUAAUAAUAAUAAUAAUAAUCAAAAUCAUCAUCAACAAAGGCAGCAACAAAUCGAAAUCGGAUCUAAAUCGCAUCAUCAUCGUCGGCAUCGUCGACAUCAUCAUCUAUGACGGCUGCUGCUUGCUGCUUGACAAUCGAUGGCAUUGAUUUUGGUAGCGACGAUUUGGCGAAGACGAAGAAGAUCAAUGAGGCUUCGAUUGGUAGUGACAGUUUACUGUGUUUUCUAUUCUUUUUGUUUUUUUUUUUUUGCCAUUUCUAUUUUUAAAUUGAAUGAGAGUGUUUUCGAAAUUUUAAAAUUUCGAUGAGAGUAGAGUUGGUAUUCCCGGGAAUGGGAGACUAAUGUCAAGGGCUCGCUUGGCACUCAAGGUAGAUACACUUAGAAGUGGGGGUUAACUUCGAAAUUGGGCUACCAAGACAACUAACUAGCUGGGGUGCACUUAGCAAAACCCCCACCAAGGCCCAAAGUCCACCAAGGCCCAAAGGUCUAGAACUCUCUACAUAUUACCCAUUCACUAGAACUUUCUAGGACUCACCACUUGGGUCCCUUAGUGUUUUGCCACUUGUAGUAGAGUUCUCUAGAACUUAUCACUCCACCCCCUAUAAAUAUGAGUGAACACACAUCAUUCACACAACCACCAACACACCCACACAACACACCUAGCACACUAGCUCUCAAGCUCUCUUGUACAAACACUCUUGUAAUUAUUCAAAGUGUAAUACAAUCAUCUUUGGUCAUUCCACUCUUACUACCCUUAACAUUUUCUCCAAGUGUGUGUGCUUGGCUUGUUUAGGGAGUAAUCUAGGCUUACUUAGCGACUCACACGCUAAGGUCGCUCAAGUGCCGCACGGGAACUUGCUGCGCAAAACUAUCACCCUGUGACAAGUGGUAUCAGAGUUACGGUUUGCACCCACACGCAAACUAGCUCAUAGACGAUGGCCAAUCCUUCCAGCACAUUGCAAGAGGGCACACUCGGUGCGGAGGUACAGGAGCAAGCUCGUGGCCGCGAGGAGGGAGGACGCGGACAGCCAAAGUCCCGAGGUAAGUCCAAAGCCCCUUCUAUGGAUGCAUUGGAACCUCGUGUUGCCAUGUUCGAAACGUCAAUGGCUGCUGUCCAAGACACCCUUGAUACAUUAGAGGAGCGAGUCGAUGGCCUUGAGGGCGAAUAUGGCGAAUUCACAGUAGCCACCAAAGCCCUCAUGCAAGACCAAGCCGACUCUCUCCGAGGGGAGUUUCGAGCAUCCAUGACGAGCUGCUCAGUUUGCGUACCUUUGUACAAAAUGAGUUGCGUGCAGUCCGUGCGGAGGUUGACGAGGUCCGUUCGGAUUGGGCUUGGCACAAGCGCACACUCAUGCCUAGCUCGGCUGCGGUUCCCGCAAGCUCGAGUGAUGCGCGCCGUAGUGACGUGCCCAAGCCUGAUACUUAUGAUGGUGCACGCAACGCCAUUGUGGUUGAUAACUUCCUGUUUGGGCUAGAACAAUAUUUCGACGCGAUGGGUGUCCGAGAUGAUGCGUCAAAGGUAGGCACCGCGCCUACAUUCCUCUGAGGCUCCGUGCAACUAUGGUGGCAGUGGAAACACGGUGAGAUGGGCAAGGGCAUUUGUGCCAUCAGCACAUGGGCCGAAUUUCAGCAGGAACUUCGCAAGCAUUUUGCCUCAAGCAAUGCGGAGAAGGAAGCACGAGCGCGGUUACGUCGGCUUAAGCAAACAAGUAACGUCCGCGAUUACAUCAACGACUUCACCACCCUUAUGCUUGAGAUUUCCGACAUGUCCGAUAAGGACUCUCUCUUCUACUUUCAAGACGGCCUUAAAGAUUGGGCCAAGACGGAGCUUGAUAGGCAUGGCGUGCAAACUCUCGACGACGACAUUGCCAUUGCGGAUUCACUCUCCGAUUACUCCGCCCAGCCCAAAGACAAGAGGCCUAGCCACGGCAAAGGUGGGGGAGAGGGCCGAAAGGACAAGGGCCGCAACCGCAAGGAAUGGGGACAGAAAAAGCCUCCAAGCGGCAAGAGCAGGCAAGGCAAGACAGAAAAACAGCAGCCGCCAAAGCCUCGAAGCCCAUGUUUCAUUUGCAAUGGCCCUCAUUGGGUGCACGACUGUCCGGAGAAAAAGUCGCUUAGCACCCUCGCCGCUCAGCUCAAGGGCGACUCUCCAUCGACACCGGAAGAACCCCAACCUAGAGUGGGUUCCCUCAAACGCCUUGGAGCGCUUGAAAGCCAUCCGCCCACAGCCACGAGGAAAGGGCUCAUGUAUGUGAAUGCCACAGUUAAUGGGCAAGCUGUUCGGGCAUUGCUCGACACCGGAGCCACCCACAACUUCAUCUCGGAAGAAGAGGCUAAGCACAUAGGCCUAAAGGCGACAAAGGACGGAGGCACAAUGAAGGCGGUAAACUCACCCGCCAAGCCCAUUGCGGGCACCGCACAAGGAGUGCGCGUUAUUCUUGGAACGUGGAGUGGAAAGCUCGACUUCUCGAUCGUGCCCAUGGACGACUUCAAGAUGGUCCUCGGCAUGGAGUUCUUCGACCGAGUCCAUGCGUUUCCACUGCCGGCCACGAACUCCCUAAGCAUCCUCGAUGGGAGUAUGGCGUGCAUGGUUCCAGCCGAGCACUCGAAGACCGCGGACAAGGCGCUCUCCGCCAUGCAGUUCAAAAAGGCUUUUCGGAAGGACCCUAGCUUCUUGGUUUCCAUUCGGGAGGUGAAUAAUGAAGAGGGUCGAGAAGACUUGUCAAGCCAACCUCCUCCACUCAUUCAAGCCGUCCUCGACGAGUUCAAGGACGUCAUGCCUCCGAAGCUCCCGAAGAAGCUCCCACCAAGUCGAGAGGUGGAACAUGAGAUUGAGUUAGAGCAAGGCGCGAAGCCGCCAGCCUUAGCGCCUUACCGCAUGGCGCCACCCGAGUUAAAAGAGUUGCGGAGGCAACUCAAAGACUUGCUCGACGCGGGCUACGUCCGCCCUUCCAAGGCCCCAUUCAGUGCACCAGUGCUCUUUCAAAAGAAGAAGGAUAGAUCUCUACGCAUGUGCAUCGACUAUCGGGCGCUCAACAAGAUUACAAUCAAGAACAAGUACCCGAUCCCCUUGAUUGCGGACUUGUUCGAUCAACUCGGCAGCGCGCGGUACUUCACCAAGCUCGACCUACGGUCCGGGUACUACCAAGUGCGCAUCACCAAGGGUGACGAACCAAAGACGACGUGCGUGACCAGGUAUGGCUCUUUCGAAUUUCUUGUUAUGUCGUUUGGUCUCACCAAUGCACCGGCGACAUUCUGCACUCUCAUGAACAAAGUUCUCCAACCGCUUCUCGACCGCUUUAUUGUGGUGUACUUGGAUGACAUUGUGGUGUACAGCACCACACUCGAGGAACAUGCCCAACACUUACGGCAAGUUCUCCAAGUACUACGCAACGAUGAACUCUACCUCAAGCUGGAGAAGUGCUCAUUUGCCCAACGAGAGGUGGAGUUUCUUGGCUACAAGAUAGCAGACGGGAAACUUAUGAUGGAGGACUCAAAAGUAAAGGCUAUACUUGAAUGGCAACCUCCUACCAAUAUACCCGAACUCCGGUCUUUCCUCGAGUUGGUGAACUAUUACCACCGCUUCAUCAAAGGGUAUUCGGCUAAAGCGGCACCCUUGACCGAGCUGCUGAAGAAGAACCGUACGUGGCAUUAGUCCAAGGAAUGCCAACGCGCUUUCGGAGAAUUGAAGAAGGCUAUCUCCGAACAGCCCGUCCUUGCACUUCCAGACCAUACAAAGCCAUUUGAGGUUCAAACGGAUGCCUCCGACUUUGCCAUAGGCGGAGUACUCAUGCAAGAAGGUCACCCCAUAGCAUUCGAGAGCCGGAAGCUCAACAACACAGAACGCCGCUACACCGUGCAAGAGAAGGAGAUGACAGCCAUUGUCCAUUGCCUACGAGUGUGGCGACACUACUUGCUUGGCUCACACUUCGUGAUCUUGACGGACAACGUAGCCACAAGCUACUUCCAAACACAAAAGAAGUUGAGCCCCAAGCAAGCAAGGUGGCAAGACUUUCUUGCGGAAUUUGAUUAUAGGCUCGAGUACAAGCCCAGGAAAGCCAACGUUGUUGCGGAUGCUCUAAGCCGCAAAGCGGAAUUGGUUACACUUAGCAUGAGCCAGCCAAAAUCCGAUCUCGUCAUGCGCAUCAAGGAAGGCCUCCAACAAGAUCCGUUGGCGAAAGACUUGUUGGGGAAAGUGCUUGAAGGGAAGACGAGGCGAUUUUGGCAAGAGGAAGGAAUCUUCCUCACCAAGGGAGACCGACUAUUUGUGCCAAGGUGGGGAAAUUUGCGGCGGGAGGUGAUCAAGGAGUGCCAUGACUCGAAGUGGGCUGGCCACCCCGUAGUAGAGCACACGACCGCACUCAUCCAAGCCUCCUACUUUUGGCCUCACAUGAGGGAUGACAUCGAGGCCUACGUGCGGACAUGUCUCGUGUGUCAACAAGAUAAGGCAGAUCGCCAACUUCCGGUGGGACUAUUGGAGCCUUCACCAACAGCAUCAAGACCAUGGGAGAGUGUCACCAUGGACUUUAUCUCGGCCCUACCCAAGUCCGAGGGGUGCGGAAGCAUCAUGGUGGUAGUCGACCGCUAUAGCAAGUAUGCGACUUUCAUCACCGCACCGACCGAUUGCAAAGCGGAUGAGGCUACCCGCCUAUUUGUCAAGCACAUCAUCAAACUUUGGGGAGUUCCAAAAAGCAUCGUGAGCGACCUCCACACUUCACCAGACGCUUUUGGACGGAGCUAUUCAAGAUGUUGGGAACCGACCUCAAGUUCUCAACAAGCUUUCAUCCGCAAACGGAUGGACAAACCGAGCGCAUCAAUAGCCUACUUGAGAUGUAUCUUAGGCAUUAUGUAAGCGCUCACCAGCGAGAUUGGGGAAAGUUGUUGGACGUUGCCCAAUUCUCAUACAACCUACAACGGAGCGAGGCUACGGGCAAGAGUCCAUUCGAGAUCAUCAUGGGAUUUCAGCCGACGACGCCCAAUGCCAUAGCCUCGACCUAUGAAGGAAAGAGCCCAGCAACCCACAAACUCGCUCGCGAAUGGCAUGAAGAAGCGGAUAUCACGCGAGCAUACCUCGACAAGGCCACUCGAAGAAUGAAAAAGUGGGCUGACUCAAGGAGACGCCACGUCGAGUACAAGGAAGGCGACCAAGUGAUGGUGAAGCUCCUACCCCAACAGUUCAAGACGUUGCGGAAAGUCCACAAAGGGUUAGUGAGACGAUAUGAAGGGCCUUUCGAAGUAGUUCGACGCGUGGGCAAGGUCUCCUACCAACUCCAACUUCCAUCAAGACUCAAGAUCCACCCGGUCAUUCACGUGAGCUUGCUCAAGCCAUACCACGGAGACGCGGGAGAUCCAAGCCAAGGCAAGUCAAGGCGUGCCCCAACCGCCGUUGUCACCGCUAUUGACAAGGACAUGGAGUACAUUCUUGCGGAUCGAGUAAUUCGAAGACGGGGCAUACCGGCUUACAACGAGUACUUGGUGAAAUGGAAGAACCUCCCCGAGAGUGAAGCAACAUGGGAGCGCAAAGACGAUCUAUGGCAAUUCGCAGAACAUGUGCAGCUCUACAAACACAACAACGCAACGAGGACGCCGCGAACAUAGGUGGGGGAGGAUUGUCACGGGCUCGCUUGGCACUCAAGGUGGAUACACUUAGAAGUGGGGGUUAACUUCGAAAUUGGGCCACCAAGACAACUAACUAGCUGGGGUGCACUUAGCAAAACCCCCACCAAGGCCCAAAGUCCACCAAGGCCCAAAGGUCUAGAACUCUCUACAUAUUACCCAUUCACUAGAACUUUCUAGGACUCACCACUUGGGUCCCUUAGUGUUUUGCCACUUGUAGUAGAGUUCUCUAGAACUUAUCACUCCACCCCCUAUAAAUAUGAGUGAACACCCAUCAUUCACACAACCACCAACACACCCACACAACACACCUAGCACACUAGCUCUCAAGCUCUCUUGUACAAACACUCUUGUAAUUAUUCAAAGUGUAAUACAAUCAUCUUUGGCCAUUCCACUUUUACUACCCUUAACAUUUUCUCCAAGUGUGUGUGCUUGGCUUGUUUAGGGAGUAAUCUAGACUUACUUGGCGACUCACACGCUAAGGUCGCUCAAGUGCCGCACGGGAACUUGCUGCGCAAAACUAUCACCCCGUGACACUAAGGUGGCAUUUGUUUAUUUAUUUGAAAUUUGAAAAGACUUAAAUUAGGUUGUGUUUUUUUUUUUUAAUCUGAAAUCUGAAUAAUUAAAUUUAGUUGAAGUCUGAAUAGGUCUGAAUGAAAAUAUCUUAAGGACAUGUUUGUUUUUUCUUUUUCAACAUCUGAAGAGAAAAACUUAAAAGUUAAUAAUUUGACAUAAAUAUCAUUUUUUAAGUGGUGUAUAUAUUUGUUCUUUACAAUUUAUAAUUUUCACAAGUUGAUUAGUUUAGUAACAUUAAAAAAAAUGCUACCAUUGU
rnacentral:lncRNA from 1 species